AGUGGCAAACGGGUGAGUAACACGUGGGUGACUGCCUUCGAGUGGGGGAUAACGUCCCGAAAGGGACGCUAAUACCGCAUGACAUCCUGCCUUUUAAGAGGCGGAGCUUAAAGCUGGGGAUCGCAAGACCUGGCGCUUGAAGAGGGGCACGCGCCUGAUUAGCUAGUUGGUGGGGUAACGGCUCACCAAGGCAACGAUCAGUAUCCGGCCUGAGAGGGCGGACGGACACACUGGGACUGAGACACGGCCCAGACUCCUACGGGAGGCAGCAGUGGGGAAUUGUUCGCAAUGGGCGCAAGCCUGACGACGCAACGCCGCGUGGAGGAUGAAGAUCUUCGGGUCGUAAACUCCUUUCGAUCGAGACGAACGACUUCCGGGUGAACAAUCCGGGAGAGUGACGGUACCGAGAGAAGAAGCCCCGGCUAACUCCGUGCCAGCAGCCGCGGUAAUACGGGGGGGGCAAGCGUUGUUCGGAAUUACUGGGCGUAAAGGGCUCGUAGGUGGCCAACUAAGUCAGACGUGAAAUCCCUCGGCUUAACCGGGGAACUGCGUCUGA
rnacentral:rRNA from 1 species